GGCAGCCUACGGGAGGCAGCAGUGGGGGAUAUUGCACAAUGGGGGGAACCCUGAUGCAGCGACGCCGCGUGAGCGAAGAAGUACCUCGGUAUGUAAAGCUCUAUCAGCAGGGAAGAAAAUGACGGUACCUGACUAAGAAGCCCCGGCUAAAUACGUGCCAGCAGCCGCGGUAAUACGUAUGGGGCAAGCGUUAUCCGGAUUUAUUGGGUUUAAAGGGUGCGUAGGCGGACUGUUAAGUCAGCGGUAAAAGCCCGGGGCUCAACCCCGGCGAGCCGUUGAAACUGGCUGUCUUGAGAUGUCGAGAG
rnacentral:rRNA from 1 species